rfam:Dichomitus squalens LYAD-421 SS1 unplaced genomic scaffold DICSQscaffold_100, whole genome shotgun sequence.
GACACUAUGGCCGAGUGGUUAAGGCGACAGAUUCGAACUGUAGACUAUCUGCUCCUUUAGGGGAGCGGGAUUUGAACCUACACUUAUCUGUUUCGCUCUGCGAGCGCAGGUUCAAAUCCUGCUGGUGUCG